AAGGCCAUGUAAUGGCAGAGGCAGAAAUCGAUGCAACACAGGGAUAAGCCAAGGAACACUGAGCACUGUCAACCAGGAGGAAAGAGGCAAGGAAGGACUCUUCCCUAGAGCCUUUAGACGGAACAUGGCCCUGCUGACAGCUUGACUUCUAACCUCCAGAACCAAAAACCUCUUCAUGUACUUAAACCAAACAAUCUACAUCAAAGUUUGAACGAUCUUGGAUGCCUCAUGUUUAUGAGCUUCCUGUCUACCACCUGAAUGUUAGUCCCACUCCAGGGCCCGGAGCCUCUGCUUCUGCCCCCAAGAGGCUGCCUAAAGCAUCUUUCCACCAAGGCAGAUAGUAGUUACCAAUACUCCAGAAAGUGACAUCUUCUUUACAUUUUUUUUUCCAAUAAAAUAACUCAAUUACAGUUUGUGAAAAAUAAACAGCCAGCCAUGAAUGAAUGUACACGUCCACAGAAAUGGAAAAUAAAUGUAACUGAAAAAGUC